rnacentral:lncRNA from 1 species
UCCUCACUUAUCUCUCAGUCUGUGUAUUAUUGAAAUAACAUUGUCUAGUAACAGAGGAUGUGUGUUAGAACAUGUAUACAUAGUACAAAUAACCGUGUUUUAGCGUCAUAGAGUUUAUGUUCUAGUAGGUGCCGGCUAGCGGCACGUUUAUUUUGAAUUUUACAUUGAAGUAGAUAUCCAAAGCAGUUUUCCGUUAAGCAACGUAACACUAAACUGUAUUACAACCCACUUAUAGUUGAUACCCUGAGAUUACGAAACAAUCCCCAUAUUCACUUAUCCUAGAGAUCAGAGCAGAGCAUGUUAGCAGUAAGACCAGUCACCGUAAGCAAACGUUUCACGGAGUAUAGACAAUGCCCUAUAUUAUAAGAACCGAUCACUGUAAUAUGAAUAACUUACACGUUAGAUUCACGGAAAAAUAUUUUUCCCAGGGUUACGCAAGCGGUAAUUGUGGUGGAGCACCUUAGUUGCCAUCCUCCGAAGUUUGGUAGAAUUAUGCAAUAAUUUGCAAGAAGUUCUUUGAAUCAAUUACUCCUGUUACGACUCCUGAAACGUAAAUCGCCGAAAGAUACGGAGACAAGCGGUUCCUCGAGAUUUGUUGGCCGCUUUUCGCGUCGCGUGACAUCCACACAUCUAAUGCUUUAUUUGGCAAAAUGUGUUUCCGCGUGGAUUUAAAUUGUUAAAUAGAUUUUUGGCUAACAAAACUGUACUGUUAAGCAAAUUUUGGCAAUUCGUGGAAUAAACGUGCCGUUGGA